GAGACUAUAGCUCAGCGGCAGAGCAUAAGAUUGCAAUGAAAUUAAUCUUCAAUCAAUCUUGGGGUCCCGUGUUCGAACCACGGUAGUCUCU
rnacentral:tRNA from 1 species